rnacentral:rRNA from 1 species
UGGGGGAUAUUGCACAAUGGGCGAAAGCCUGAUGCAGCGAUGCCGCGUGGGGGAAGAAGGUUUUCGGAUUGUAAACCCCUGUCUUCGGGGACGAUAAUGACGGUACCCGAGGAGGAAGCUCCGGCUAACUACGUGCCAGCAGCCGCGGUAAUACGUAGGGAGCGAGCGUUGUCCGGAAUUACUGGGUGUAAAGGGAGUGUAGGCGGGACGGUAAGUCAGGUGUGAAAUUUAUGGGCUCAACUCAUAAACUGCACUUGAAACUGCUGUUCUUGAGUGAAGUAGAGGUUGGCGGAAUUCCUAGUGUAGCGGUGAAAUGCGUAGAUAUUAGGAGGAACAUCAGUGGCGAAGGCGGCCAACUGGGCUUUUACUGACGCUGAGGCUCGAAAGCGUGGGGAGCAAA